rnacentral:rRNA from 1 species
ACUACGGGAGGCAGCAGUGAGGAAUAUUGGUCAAUGGGCGCGAGCCUGAACCAGCCAAGUAGCGUGAGUGAUGACUGCCCUACGGGUUGUAAGCUUCUUUUGUGAAGUGGUAAAGUGAAGCACGUAUGCCUUUUUGUAUGGACUUUAUGAGUAGGGGUAGGCUAACUCCGUUCCAGCAGCCGCGGUGAUACGGAGGAUCCGAGCGUUAUCCGGAUUUAUUGGGUGUAAAGGGAGAGUAGAUGGGUUGUUAAGUCAGAUGUGAAGGUGUGAGGCUCAACCGUAAAAUUGCAAUUGAUACUGGCAGCCUUGAGUACAGUUGAGGUAGGCGGAAUUCGUGGUGUAGCGGUGAAAUGCUUAGAUAUCACGAAGAACUCCGAUUGCGAAGGCAGCCUACUAAACUGCGACUGACAUUGAUGCUCGAAAGUGUGGGUAUCAAACAGGAUUAGAUACCCUUGUAGUC